UGUGUAACUAAGUUGAGAAAGUACCUUGAACAUCACACGUGAGCUGGCUUUGCUGUUGUAACUUUGUUUGUUGCUGAAAUUUGACACGUGACACAUGGAAUAAUAAUGAUCCAGUUUAAAAUUCAGAUUAUCGGCAGGUCUUAAGAACCACUGGACUAUUUUUCCACAAAGAAGGCAUUAGAAGUUUUUAAAAAGUCUUGAAUUUCAUUGUCCAAGCCUUGGAAUGUUGUGUCUUUCUUGCAUAUAACAAUAAUUUUAAGUUUUGUUGGGGAUACUGUAGGUUCAAACCCCAUUGAUUUUUGCUGUUAUUUAUUUUUAAUGGGAGAAUCCAUGCCACUCAUCUGGGUCUACACAAGGAACAAUUACAAGAAAGUCUUCAGAGAAAUAUGCUGUCACCAGUGUGUUUGAAGUACCACCAGAGAGCAGCAGAUCACCAUCACUGUUUCUGCAGACUGUCCUUUUCCAGCUCAGAGGUACAACAUGUGGACGCGCACUCAUCAGCCUGCAGCAUGUCUACUCUGCUCUCCAAUCACUCUCUACCAGAUUGUUAUUGCGUCUGCGUCUGCAUCUGCGUGGAUCAACACUCAUCAGCCGCAACCUGUGUCAUCAUUCCCUUCAUUCCUGGUUACAAUAAAACUUUUUCAUUUUACAAUAAACAAUAAAACUUUUUACUUUUAUUGUAACUAAAACUAAUCACUUGGAUUUCACAGGUCAGAGCUAUUCUGUCCUGACAAAGAAUCAUGAUGAAAAUACAUUUUAAACUAGGAGAGAACGAUAAGAGCAGUGACAUUCUACAUUUUAGUCUGUCCUCUGUCUUCAGCAGACACCUGUCAUCCAGCAUACAGAGUGAAAAGGGCCUUUUGGCUAACUGUAAUGUCAAUAGAGGGAGUUCCAGUCUACACUUUGACAGAUGUCUGUUAGGACAAAUAACAGACAAAGCCCAAAAUGUCAGUGCACAGGUUCGAUUCGUGUCUCUCUGUGAGUUAUUUGGAUUGAUGCUCUGAAAUCCUGACAAUCACAAAACGCUGGAAUCACAGGUUCAGUCUAUGUAAUUCAGAAAGCACUUUUAUGAAAACACUUACGACACGAAAGGCAUUUAAAUUAAAUCUACGUUAAUCAAUAAGCUUUACAUUAAUUCCCCAGAGAGUGGUCACUUAUCAGUUCUGACGUUUUUUCCCCCUCUUUUAGCUCCUUGCUUUAUUUUUACAGACCAUAAUUUUUUAGUUUGAUUGUGCCUUUGAGUGUGAGGAACCAGAGGACCUUUCAUUUUGCCCCCUAGUGGCCACUGUUUUUUAGCUUUAAAGCAACAGUUCUACUUUCUGGGAGACAAUAUUGUAUGCUUUCUUGUGGAGGUUUGAAAAAGACUGAUAGCACCCAUCACUGUGUAAUUUAUGGUAAUUUAUGGCCUCUCAUCUCUAUCUUCUCUAUUUCGAAACUGCUUCCUGGCAAGCAUCGGUCACCCAUGACAUCCUUUUCUAAUGAGGCUUGCAGACAUGUUGGUGUGUAUCUUCAGGGAAGUAUAACUGCAGCCUCAGAUGUUGUGGAAUAACUGUCACGUGACAACACAACAAGUCUGUGAAACUUUUCCCUGUGUGUUUUAUAGAAAAUAAAAAGGGUCCCCGAGGUGGAAAAACUAAAUUCCUCAUUUCUGAUGGUGAUGAUGGUUAACAUUUAGUGGAAAUGUACACUGAACAAAAAUAAAAGUACAUCACUUAAUUUUUUGUUCUCAUUUCUCAUAAAUUGAAA